ACUACGGUGUUAAUCAUUACUCUGCUCACGCUUAUUUAAUAAGCGACUAUUAACUUAGAAAUAACAUAAAUCCUCUUUUCCUCUUCUUAAAAGAACCUGAUUUUGAAAUAAUCUAAUGUCUAAUUUAUGCAUAAAUACAUAGGGUAAUAGCAUAAAUUAAUUAAUUAAUCCAAAUCAACAUACUAAUAAGUUCAGUUCGUCCAAGACUUAAAACCCAAUAAUAGGAACCCAACAUAAUUUCCUUUUAGUUAAAACAAAGCCCAAAAUUAGGCCCACUAGUAAAAUGAUCCUAAACCAAAUUCACUUUUCCUUCUCUUACGUGUUUGACUUCUCAAAUACUUCUCAUUCUUAAUUUCUUUCUUCUCUCUACGAAGACACCAGAACUCCCUUUCUCCAAAACUGCUCCCUUCCUCUUCUCUUGGCAGGAAGUCGCCGGUCCUCGCCGCCUCCGGUGCGGUGAGAUCGGCCCCUCUCUUUUCCUUCUCUUUUUCCUACUUCUAAAUCCCUAAGUUUUCUGCCUCCCUUCUUCCCCCUGAAAUUCGCCCCUCCGGCGAGUCUGAGUCCCGCCGCCACUACCGCCGUCUCCGUCGCACCGCUACCCCUGCCUCAGGAAUUGUUGAUUCGAGUCCGGCGAGGCAGUCCGUCUCUUGAUAGUGCAGCUCAAGUUUCUAUUUUUUUCUUAUUCUGUAAAUUAUUCUCUUUUGUUGAUUUACCGAUAAAUCGAUAUUUGAUGGGGAAAAAACAUACUCCUAUUGUUUUGUAGAAAUUAGAGUUAGGGACUGUUGCAACUAUGCUUGUAUCUACUUGUGAAGGUUAUUAUUCUGUACAUAAAUAUUGAAUUGUACUGUAUGAAAAGGAAUACUACCUGCUUGAUGAAUUGAUUUGCUGUGAAAGCUUGUUGGAA